CCAGCCAGGUCCUGUCCCCUUGCCCCGGGGCAGGAUCCCAGGAGAGCCCAGCCAGGCUUGGGCCAGACUUCACCCCAUCCUGGGGCGGAGGUUGGGAUGAGUGGGAAGAGAGCAAAGCAGCCAGGAGGACAACGUCCGGGGCGCUGGCGUGGCGGAGGAGCCUAGAGCGCAAGAGAGGCCCAGAGCUGGAGCCGGGGGAUGGCUGAGGUGACUUUGGAGGGAGCUGUCCAGCCCCCACUUUUACCCAGGGAGUACUUCUGCAAGGAGAGAAGCCUCGAAUCAGAUUCAGGACAUGGACAUUUGCGUUUUAGUCCCAUUUCUGCCACGUACUAGUGUAAGACUGACUCCUUCCCCUCUCAGGGUUCUGGUUCCCCCACCUAUAAAGUAAAGGGUCUGGACAAAAUGAUCUCUUUACACUCCUGACACUUUAAACAAAGACAAAGAUACGACUCCUGCAUCCAGCAAAUGAA